GGCGGUUCUCAGGUGAUGCACCUUGGAAUCAGGCUCCCUCCUUUCUGGUUCCGGGUGAGUCACCCGAGAACUGCA
rfam:Myotis lucifugus cont2.37586, whole genome shotgun sequence.